rnacentral:rRNA from 1 species
UCUGUAGGCGGAGAUUUAAGUUGAAUAUGAAAGACCGGAGCUCAACUUCGUGUUUGUGUUCAAAACUGGAUUUCUAGAAUUAGGGAGAGGUAAGCGGAAUUCUAAGUGUAGGAGUGCAAUCCGUAGAUACUUAGAGGAACACCAAAGCGAAGGCAGCUUACUGGAACUAUAUUGACGCUGAGAGACGAAAGCGUGGGUAGCGAAAG